rnacentral:rRNA from 1 species
GCUAAUGCAGUGUAGGAAGCUGCGGUAGUACAGGGGGGGCAAGGGGUAAUCGGAAUUGCUGGGCGGAAAGGGCACGUAGGUGGGUGGGUAAGUUGGAGAUGAAAUCCCCGGGCUUAACUUGGGAAUUGCAUUGAAGACUGCCUUGCUAGAGUGUGGAAGAGGGAAGCGGAAUUCCAGGUGUGGCGGUGAAAUGCGUAGAUAUCUGGAGGAACAUCAGUGGCGAAGGCGGCUUCCUGGUCCAACACUGACACUGAGGUGCGAAAGCGUGGGGAGCAAACAGGAUUAGAUACCCUAGUAGUC